rnacentral:rRNA from 1 species
GGACUACUAGGGUAUCUAAUCCCGUUCGCUCCCCACGCUUUCGCACCUCAGCGUCAGUGUUAGCCCAGAGUACUGCCUUCGCCAUCGGUAUUCCUCCUGAUCUCUACGCAUUUCACCGCUACACCAGGAAUUCCAUACUCCUCUGCCACACUCAAGUCAACCAGUAUCCAAGGCACUGUUCACGUUGAGCGCUGAACCUUUCACCUCAGACUUAAUUGACCGCCUACGCGCGCUUUACGCCCAGUAACUUCGGACAACGCUCGCCCCCUACGUAUUACCGCGGCUGCUGGCAC